rnacentral:tRNA from 1 species
AUUUGGAUAGUUUAAAGAAAAUUUUGAUUUGUGGUGUCAAAGAUGCUGAAAAGUUUCAAAUA